CACGUAGGGGGCAAGCGUUGUCCGGAUUUAUUGGGCGUAAAGAGCUCGUAGGCGGCUCAGUAAGUCGGGUGUGAAACCUCCAGGCUCAACCUGGAGACGCCAUCCGAUACUGCUGUGGCUAGAGUCCGGUAGGGGAGCGUGGAAUUCCUGGUGUAGCGGUGAAAUGCGCAGAUAUCAGGAGGAACACCGGUGGCGAAGGCGCUGCUCUGGGCCGGUACUGACGCUGAGGAGCGAAAGCGUGGGUAGCAAACAGG
rnacentral:rRNA from 1 species